rnacentral:rRNA from 1 species
GAUGAACGCUGGCGGCGUGCCUAAUACAUGCAAGUCGAGCGAACAGACGAGGAGCUUGCUCCUCUGACGUUAGCGGCGGACGGGUGAGUAACACGUGGAUAACCUACCUAUAAGACUGGGAUAACUUCGGGAAACCGGAGCUAAUACCGGAUAACAUGUUGAACCGCAUGGUUCAACAGUGAAAGACGGUCUUGCUGUCACUUAUAGAUGGAUCCGCGCCGCAUUAGCUAGUUGGUAAGGUAACGGCUUACCAAGGCAACGAUGCGUAGCCGACCUGAGAGGGUGAUCGGCCACACUGGAACUGACACACGGUCCAGACUCCUACGGGAGGCAGCAGUAGGGAAUCUUCCGCAAUGGGCGAAAGCCUGACGGAGCAACGCCGCGUGAGUGAAGAAGGUCUUCGGAUCGUAAAACUCUGUUAUUAGGGAAGAACAAAUGUGUAAGUAACUAUGCACGUCUUGACGGUACCUAAUCAGAAAGCCACGGCUAACUACGUG